UACGGAGGGUGCGAGCGUUAAUCGGAAUCACUGGGCGUAAAGCGCACGUAGGCGGCCAAGUAAGUCAGCGGUGCAAGCCCUCCGCUUACCGGAGGAACUGCCGUUGAUACUGCAUGGCUUGAGUUUGUGAGAGGAUAGCGGAAUUCCAGGUGUAGGAGUGAAAUCCGUAGAUAUCUGGAGGAACAUCGGUGGCGAAGGCGGCUAUCUGGCGCAAUACUGACGCUGAGGUGCGAAAGCGUGGGGAUCAAACAGG
rnacentral:rRNA from 1 species